CUUAGAAUCCAAGUAAACAAGGGAUGUUAUAUUUAUUAUUUUUUUCCAUCAAACGAAAAUUGCAAUAUGAAUUUUUGUUUUCCAUCAAACGAAAAUUGCUAGAUUAAUUUUCACUUCAACGUCUUCCGUUGCAAACUCUUGCAAUUUCUACAUUGUAACAAUACUAAUUUUCACUUAACCUUAAACGUCUUCCGUUACAAGCUCUUGCAAUAUUUUAAAUUGAAACAAGAUAAUACCAUUCCUGCAUGUUUAUAUAUAUAUAUAUAUUUCUCCAUGCUAACUUUUGUUCAACCUCUCUUGAUCUAUUCUUAUAUUUCACUUCUUGAAAAGGAAAAAAUUAAGCUUACUGACUAGCUGCUGCUGCUUCUUCGCAGAUUUUAAGAUAAAAAAGGUAUUAAAGAUCGAAAUUCAGGUGGUAGAUGAGUUUUCGAACGAAUUUGAGAAAAUUUUUAUGUGAUGAUCAUUCUCUAUUUUAAUGGUGAGAAGGCUAGAAGAGCGAGGUGGGAAUAUAUAUUGAUAUACUAAGAGACCUUUGCAUUACAAAGAAUGUGCGAUAAAGUGUUGAUGAGAGAACUUACACAUCAACUUAUCUGGAAGAGCUAAAAUAUUAUCUUUGGACGGCACCAGAGGAUCGCAGAUGACGGAUCAACACAUUGGGUUGGUGGAGGAGUAACGAAACACAAUAUUCUGUGCUUUCAAGAUUAGCUAGAGAUAUCUUGAAUGUUCCAAUGUCAACCGUUGCAUCAGAGAGCGCCUUUAGUCAGGGACGACAACAGCUUGGAGACAACCGACACUCAUUGGGAAGCAAUGCAAUGAAUGUUCUAAUUUGACUCAGAGAUUGGAUUAGAGCGGAAAGAAGAAAGCAAGGAAUGAAACCGGAGCCGAGCAACGAGUUGAAACUUGAAGAAAUUAUGACUUCAUGGGAGAACUCAGCAGAAUCAAGUCCAAUGAAUGAUUUUGCCCCUGUUGACUUCGACUAUCCUAUGCAAGUUUCCGUUAAUAUAAACGUGAAUGAGUUGGAAAAAAUGAUGCAUAAUUUGUAGAUUUUUCAUUCAUGUAAAUUAUAAAUUUUGGAUCAUUUUGCAAUCAAUAAAAUUUCCCAAAUUCAUU